rnacentral:lncRNA from 1 species
AACCUGAAGUUAACUGCCAGGGUUUCCAGUAGGAGGCAGCUCAACCUGCAUGACACAGGACACCAGCGAUAGUCAUACCAGGACCAGACUCAUAGAUGAAAUGAAGUGUCAUCAUCCAUCACUAUGAACUUCCUUCAUGAGAGAGAAAAGGGGAAAAAGUGAUCUGUGUCUAGGUGGAAAUGACCUCUGGCUCUGAGGGAAAACCCAGGAAGACCGGUUAAAGCUGUGUUUGCUCAGGAGUGAGCCUAAAAAACAAGACGCAGAAAGCACUUUGCAGAAGAAGACUGUUGAAACUGGACAGCCUUACUUCGUUCCUGAUUGCAGUGAGAAAGCACUCCAUCUGUUCUCACUGAAUGUGUUGCAAGAGACCAUUGGAAUGACAAGACAGCCAGGCUGAAGAUGCUGUCUCCGGCUAUAUCUGAUUACUCAUUUCAGAGCAUAACUAAGGAAGGAUGAGCAUCCAAGGCUUUCUGAAAUGGAAAAUGGAGUAGCUGAGUUCUGGAGCUAGCCUCAGUCUUUUAGUCUGACUGAGUAUAG